rnacentral:lncRNA from 1 species
AUUAGACUCAGAAACUACUUAAAAAAUUGUAAGCAAAGUUUUAAUAAAGUAAAUUCAAACAAAUUAACAAAACUCAAAUAUUCCAAAAACCAACACGAAAUAAAUCUUAAAAAUACCUGUUCGGGCGCCAUUUACAAUGUUUGGGAUUUCUGCCGAAACAUUGUAUUGAGUUCGACCCCGCGCCUCCUCUCUACUGGUCUUCCAAGUCGAUCUAAUCUUAAUGUGAAUGUCUAUUUCAUUGGCAUCUAGCCAUCUUAAAACAGACUCAGACCAAUGCUCCAUUUAAACAACACUUUUAUUGAAUAAAAAAAGUUUAACUUACAAUACGUUAAUAUUAUGAUAAACGAGUCUCGCCUACUCAAAAAGAAUAAAUCUGUAUCUUCAAUGUUGAAAUCACUUGUUUCAAAACUAACCUUCAAUAAAUCCAGACAAGUCACGACUAUGUAUAACAAACCACCAGUACCAUGGAUGACAAAACAUACAACAGGGCGAAAUUCACAGCGCCUUCUUCUGGAGUGCUUUUCAAAAAAACUAAAUUUACAUUUUUCGUACAUUAU